rnacentral:tmRNA from 1 species
GGGGCUGACCGGUUUUGACAGCUUGUAAAGUUCUUUGGUAAGCGUGCCGAGGGUUGUAAGGAGACCUCGUAAAAUAGAACUUUCAAAACUUCAAAUGGCAAUCAAAGCUAUCAACUCGCUGCCUAAUUUUACUAAGUAAAAUUACUUAAUUCGCGUGGACUAGGUUUCCUCUGCGAACGAGUACCCUGAUUCAAAUCGCCCCGCUCUUUGCGGACUGAAUCGACUGGGUAUCACAAAACUAAGAGAUAGCCGCCCGUUUUCUACUAACGGCGUGGCGAAAUUCUAAAUAGAUAAGCAGCAAUUUCGGGUGAUUGUGCCCUGAUUGAUGUCGAAAAAUAAUCACAAAAUACGCACGUAGAAAGUCACGGCACUUCUUGUUUGGACGAGGGUUCGAUUCCCUCCAGCUCCACA